ACUUACCUUGUUGGUUCUGGAAGUAGCAGUGAGCAGAGGUCACAGUAGAGGACCGAGACAGAGGACAGUCGUGGAGUAUCUCUGAAGAUCAGGUCAAGUAUCUCUGAAGAUCAGGUCAGCAGGUCUGACCCCCUCAGGUCCGCACAGUUAUCAGGUCACUUCUUAAUCC